rnacentral:rRNA from 1 species
ACGAACGCUGGCGGCAUGCCUAAUACAUGCAAGUCGAGCGGUGCAGCAAUGCAUAGCGGCGGACGGGUGAGUAACGCGUGGGCAACCUGCCUCAAAGGUUGGGAUAACACCCCGAAAGGGGUGCUAAUACCGAGUGUGCUCUAGGUGCCGCAUGGCAUAUAGAGGAUAGGAGAAAUCCGUUUUUGAGAUGGGCCCGCGUCUGAUUAGCUAGUUGGUAGGGUAACGGCCUACCAAGGCGACGAUCAUAGCCG